GGAUUAGAUACCCUGGUAGUCCACGCCGUAAACGAUGUCUACUAGCCGUUGGGAGACUUGAUCUCUCAGUGGUGCAGCUAACGCAAUAAGUAGACCGCCUGGGGAGUACGGCCGCAAGGUUAAAACUCAAAUGAAUUGACGGGGGCCCGCACAAGCGGUGGAGCAUGUGGUUUAAUUCGAUGCAACGCGAAGAACCUUACCAGGUCUUGACAUCCUGCGAAUUUUCUAGAGAUAGAUUAGUGCCUUCGGGAACGCAGUGACAGGUGCUGCAUGGCUGUCGUCAGCUCGUGCCG
rnacentral:rRNA from 1 species